rnacentral:rRNA from 1 species
UACGUAGGGUGCAAGCGUUAAUCGGAAUUACUGGGCGUAAAGCGUGCGCAGGCGGUUGUGCAAGACAGAUGUGAAAUCCCCGGGCUCAACCUGGGAACUGCAUUUGUGACUGCAUAGCUAGAGUACGGGUAGAGGGGGGAUGGAAAUUCCGCGUGUAGCAGUGAAAUGCGUAGAUAUGCGGGAGGAACACCGAUGGCGAAGGGCAAUCCCCCUGGACCUGUACUGACGCUCAUGCACG